CCUACGGGAGGCAGCAGUGAGGAAUAUUGGUCAAUGGGCGCAAGCCUGAACCAGCCAUGCCGCGUGCAGGAUGACGGUCCUAUGGAUUGUAAACUGCUUUUGUACAGGAAGAAACACUCCCUCGUGAGGGAGCUUGACGGUACUGUAAGAAUAAGGAUCGGCUAA
rnacentral:rRNA from 1 species